UAUAUGUAUCCAUAAGAGCAGCCUCAUGAUGGAGUUAUGAGUGUAUAUGUUCUAGUGUUAUUAAUACUCUACAAAUUUUAAUAUCUUGUAAAGUUUUUGACUUUUCAACUGUGGGGCCCACUUGAGUUAUAAGGGUCAUUGCAGACCCAUUUAAUUCCAAAUUGUUUUCUCUCUCGGCAGCUCAUAUCUCUCUCUCUCGCUGCUUCUACUUUUUUCUUUUCUUUUUUCUUUUUCAACUUCAAUCCUUGAUUCCAUCUUCAUUACUAGCCGGAUUUAGGUGCCGUUUGAGGCAAAACGACGAGUGUGACGAGCUCUACGUUCUAGUACCAGCAAUUCCAGUUUUGCUACCUUCCUUGGAGCUCAAAAAUUUAAACCCAUUUCUAGGGUUUUGCCUAUUUUGAGGUCUUGGAAAAGAAUCGGUGGACGACAACCCACCUCAAGCUUGAGCGAUACUAGAAGCUCACUUUUGUGUCUUUUGUAUAUUUCCCAUUAUUUUUGCAAAGCACUAAAAGUAUAAAAGUAUAUAUGUAUAUUUUGCAAAACUUUGUCAUGUAACCUUGUUGAUGAAUGGGAAGGAUAAUUUUAGUUAAAGUAAUUAUCGGUGUUAUUUGAUUGU